rnacentral:lncRNA from 13 species
GUUGGGGGGUGACAGUAUUCCUCUCCUCUGGUUCCUGUGGUGUUGGGGGGUGACAGUAUUCCUCUCCUCUGGUUCCUGUAGUGUUGGGGGGGUGGCAGUAUUCCUUUCCCCUGGUUCCUGUGGUGUUGGGGUGUGGUGGUGUAUCAAGGUCAACGUGAAAGGCGUCUUUGUUUCAGCGUAGAGCCCCAGUCUGAGGACAGAGGAGAAGAGACUGACUG